AUGGGCGCAGCCUGAUGCAGCCAUGCCGCGUGUGUGAAGAAGGCCUUCGGGUUGUAAAGCACUUUCAGUCAGGAGGAAAGGUUAGUAGUUAAUACCUGCUAGCUGUGACGUUACUGACAGAAGAAGCACCGGCUAACUCCGUGCCAGCAGCCGCGGUAAUACGGAGGGUGCGAGCGUUAAUCGGAAUUACUGGGCGUAAAGCGUACGCAGGCGGUUUGUUAAGCGAGAUGUGAAAGCCCCGGGCUCAACCUGGGAACUGCAUUUCGAACUGGCAAACUAGAGUGUGAUAGAGGGUGGUAGAAUUUCAGGUGUAGCGGUGAAAUGCGUAGAGAUCUGAAGGAAUACCGAUGGCGAAGGCAGCCACCUGGGUCAACACUGACGCUCAUGUACGAAAGCGUGGGGAGCAAACGGGAUUAGAUACCCCGGUAGUCCACGCCGUAAACGAUGUCUACUAGAAGCUCGGAGCCUCGGUUCUGUUUUUCAAAGCUAACGCAUUAAGUAGACCGCCUGGGGAGUACGGCCGCAAGGUUAAAACUCAAAUGAAUUGACGGGGGCCCGCACAAGCGGUGGAGCAUGUGGUUUAAUUCGAUGCAACGCGAAGAACCUUACCUACACUUGACAUACAGAGAACUUACCAGAGAUGGUUUGGUGCCUUCGGGAACUCUGAUACAGGUGCUGCAUGGCUGUCGUCAGCUCGUGUUGUGAGAUGUUGGGUUAAGUCCCGCAACGAGCGCAACCCCUAUCCUUAGUUGCUAGCAGGUAAUGCUGAGAACUCUAAGGAGACUG
rnacentral:rRNA from 1 species